rnacentral:ribozyme from 1 species
AAAACGAGACCACAACAACAACGCAUGGGCAUGGGAGUGGAUGAGUGGGAGUGCAAGCUUUUCCGCGAGGUUCUGACUGAGCCAUCAAGGUGGAGGGGCACGCGAAGGUCGCUAUUCUUCAAGCACCACUGC